GCGGGCGGCGUCCUCCGUCUGGGUGCCUGCAGACAAACCGGUGGCCGGGUUUUCCGGCGCCGGCCCUCCGACGCUCAAGUCAGGGAGGGGGCAGAUAGUGUAAGGAGGAGAUGAACAGUGCUUGUAAGGCGCGGAAUUUCCCAACCCCCUCCUGAGAAGCUAAGGCUCCCUUUUAUAGGUGGGGGUCGGUUUACCUGUGAUGUAACAGGGCGAGGCCAUAGUACGGC
rnacentral:lncRNA from 1 species